UUGGAGGAUUUGAAGACUUCAACUUGCAUUGACGAAACAAUUUGAAGACUUCAACUUGCAUAUUUGGUGGAUCUAAAAACUUUAACU
rnacentral:pre_miRNA from 1 species